rnacentral:ncRNA from 1 species
GGGGGCUGCUCCUAGUACGAGAGGACCGGAGUGGACGCAUCACUGGUGUUCGGGUUGUCAUGCCAAUGGCACUGCCCGGUAGCUAAAUGCGGAAGAGAUAAGUGCUGAAAGCAUCUAAGCACGAAACUUGCCCCGAGAUGAGUUCUCCCUGAGACUUAGCAGUCUCCAGAAGGAACGUUGAAGACGACGACGUUGAUAGGCCGGGUGUGUAAGCGCAGCGAUGCAGUUGAGCUAACCGGUACUAAUGAACCGUGAGGCUUAACCUU